rnacentral:rRNA from 1 species
GUCUACAGCAAUAUCACCCUGAACAAGCCCGAUCUCUUCUGAUCUCAGAAGCUAAGCAGGGUUGGGCCUCGUUAGUACUUAGAUGGGAGACCACCUAGGAAGACCAGGUGCUGUAGGGU